CCACACCAGCAGCAUAUGGAAAUUCCUGGGCCAGGGGUUGAAUCUGAGCCGCAGCUGUGGAAAUGCCAGAUCCUUUUAAAACCACUGUGCCAGGCCAGGGAUUAAGCCUGAAGUGUCUCAGCAGCUAUCUGAGCCAAUGCCGUCACAUUCUUAACCCACUGGGCCACAGCGGGAACUCCUUCCUUACAUUAUUAUUACAUUAUUAUUACUAAAAGUAAACUCUUUUCCCGGAGCACUUAGCAUGUGUGGGGCAGAAUGCUAAGCACAGCACAUGAGUUAUCUCACUUUGUCCUCCCAAGAAACCCAGAAGAUUGGCAUGAAUUCCGUUAACUUAAUACAGGUGGGUUAGUGGAAGAAUCAGAUUGAUUAUAUAAGGCAGCCAAGGUCCCUCAGCUGGUAAUGUGGGAAACCAGGAUUCAUACCCAAUCCUCUGCAAUCAUUCCACUCCCUCAUCGGGGAAAGGAACGGAGGGAAGGAGGGAAUUUAUGGAACCUCGCCUUGUCAGUCCUGGUGCUGGUUGCGUGCCUUGCUGAUCGUGUUCAAUCUUCACAGCCUCACAAGAUUCUUGUCUCUGGAUGUCCCUCAAACUAUCACAGUGGUGAAACUCUCUCACAGACUUGUCUCAUCUUUCAGCAGUAGGUAUUCAGAUCUAGGUAUGUAUACUCAAAGUUGGGGGGUAAAUGUUAAUCAGAUACACGUUGAUUUUCAAGCCAUUAAAACAGAUGACGGCUAAAUAUAUAAGGGUUAUAUGUAUUUUCACCUAGAAGUAAAACUACCAGAGCUCUAAACCAAAAGACAAGUUUGGGUCCCAGCUAUGCAUAUGGGUUUUGAGGUUUCGCGUCAGUUCAGUUUUGAAAAUCCAGACAAAGUAAUUUGUAAAUAAGUAAAAUAAUAAUUUGGUAGGUUGACUUUUUCACUUUUCAACCAGUUUUACGUUCCUUAGCUACAAUCUGUAUAUUAGCAAAUGACACAAUGAGGAGUUCUUGUUUUGGCUCAGUAGGUUAAAGACCCAACAUUGCCUCUGUGAGGAUGCAGGUUCAAUCCCUGGCUUGGCUCCUUGUGUUAAGGCAGCUUGGAUCCAGUGUUGCCAUGGCUGUGGUGUAGAUCCCAGCUGCAGCUCCAAUUUGAUCCCUGGCUUGGAAACUUUCAUAUGCCGCUGGUGCAACUGUGAAAAGAAAAAGAAAAAGAAAGAAAAUAACAUAAUGAUUGGUAGCGUGAGUUUACGAAUGAUAAUAAAUCCAAGAAAGAAAGGGAGAGAGGAAGGGAG
rnacentral:lncRNA from 1 species